rnacentral:tRNA from 1 species
CAGUUGUGGCGCAGCUGGUUAGAGCACUGACCUUCCAACCAGGAGGUUGGUGGAUAAAA